UUGUACUGCUUAAUACGUUUCCCUUUAGGACGUAUUUAUUUAUUUAUUUAUUAAUUUAUUAAAAUUUUAAUUUACUUAUUUUUUUAUUUAAAGCAGAUUUCGCACAAGUGUGUGAACGCUGUGAGUGUACCGCGCAUGCGCUGGUCAUGACUUUCCUCAAAGUCGUUGCGUCACCGGAUCUAGCGAAGCCUCCGUGAAGCUAAAGCAUGUUCUCUUCAUUCUGAUAUGUUUUUGGGAUUAUAUUUGCCCUAUCGUGUUUACAGUGCUGUGUGUAGAGAGGUGUUGACACCAUGGGACCACAGUUGCUCUCCUGUCUUGUUGGAUCUCUGACUCGUCAGUUGUCCCAGGUUGGCCGGUACACUGCUCUUGGCUACUUACCUGCAGUAGGUGCACAAAGAUGCAUCCAUACCAUAACAUCUGUAACAACACAAUUAAGGGUUGCCCCCAACCCAACAUGCAACCUGCGCUCUCCGUUCAUCUCACCCUUGCUUGGACAGUGCCAGCAGCUGAUGUGUGUUCAGCCAUCUGCUGGCAUGAAGACAAAAACUGCUCUUAAAAGACGCUGCAAAGAAUGCUUUUUUGUACGCCGCCGUGGAAGGUUGUUUGUGUUUUGCAAGGCCCACCCCAGACACAAGCAAAGACAGGGAUGAAAGGGAUACUUUGUUGUUAUAAUACCGCUUUGUAUGUCAAAUAAAGGAAUUGAGAUGACCUGAUUUGGUUUGCUGAGCAUGUAGAAGUCAUUUACUAAUAACUAAAGCUUUACUAUGUGAAUAUGCUCCAAGGUUUCAGUUUCAUUUAUUGGAAAUGUUUCCAACUGGCAUACUUUCUUAAAUGUUCAGUAAAACAGUGAUUAACUAAAUAUCAUUCCGGCUUUAAAUGCAUCUGCAAGCUCUUGAUUUAAAAGUUACUGUUGUUAGUAAAAAUUACGUUCUGAAAUAUAA